rnacentral:rRNA from 1 species
GACGAACGCUGGCGGCGUGCCUAAUACAUGCAAGUCGAGCGAACAGACGAGGAGCUUGCUCCUCUGUCGUUAGCGGCGGACGGGUGAGUAACACGUGGAUCAUCCACCUAUAAGUCUGGGAACUCUUCGAGACUCCGGCGCUUAUACCGGAUAAUCUACUGAACCGUAUGGUUCAAUGGUGAAAUUCGGCUUUUCUGUCUCUUAUAGCUGGAUCUGCGCCGGUUUAGCUAGUUGGUCAGGUAACGGCUUACAAAGGCGACGAUGCGUAGCCGACGGCAGGGGGGGAUAGGCGGCACUGGAGCUGAGACGCGGACAUGGCUCCUACGGGAGGCAGCAGAAGGCAAUCUUACGCAAUGGGCGGAAGCCUGACGGAGCGACGCCGCGUGUGUGAUGGAAGUGCUGGGAUCGGAAAGCUCUGUUAUUGGGGAAGAACAGAUGUGGAAGUAACUGUGGCCGUAUUGACGGUACCUGGUCAGGAAGCCACGGCUAACUACGUG